rnacentral:rRNA from 1 species
AGUGAACGCUGGCGGUAGGCCUAACACAUGCAAGUCGAACGGCAGCACAGGAGAGCUUGCUCUCUGGGUGGCGAGUGGCGGACGGGUGAGGAAUACAUCGGAAUCUACUUUUUCGUGGGGGAUAACGUAGGGAAACUUACGCUAAUACCGCAUACGACCUACGGGUGAAAGCAGGGGACCUUCGGGCCUUGCGCGAUUGAAUGAGCCGAUGUCGGAUUAGCUAGUUGGCGGGGUAAAGGCCCACCAAGGCGACGAUCCGUAGCUGGUCUGAGAGGAUGAUCAGCCAAACUGGAACUGAGACACGGUCCAGACUCCUACGGGAGGCAGCAGUGGGGAAUAUUGGACAAUGGGCGCAAGCCUGAUCCAGCCAUACCGCGUGGGUGAAGAAGGCCUUCGGGUUGUAAAGCCCUUUUGUUGGGAAAGAAAUCCAGCUGGCUAAUACCCGGUUGGGAUGACGGUACCCAAAGAAUAAGCACCGGCUAACUUCGUGCCAGCAGCCGCAGUAA